rnacentral:rRNA from 1 species
AUUGAACGCUGGCGGCAUGCUUUACACAUGCAAGUCGAACGGCAGCGGGGGCUUCGGCCUGCCGGCGAGUGGCGAACGGGUGAGUAAUGCAUCGGAACGUGCCCAUGUCGUGGGGGAUAACGUAGCGAAAGCUACGCUAAUACCGCAUACGUCCUGAGGGAGAAAGCGGGGGAUCUUUGGACCUCGCGCGAUUGGAGCGGCCGAUGUCGGAUUAGCUAGUAGGUGAGGUAAAGGCUCACCUAGGCGACGAUCCGUAGCGGGUCUGAGAGGAUGAUCCGCCACACUGGGACUGAGACACGGCCCAGACUCCUACGGGAGGCAGCAGUGGGGAAUUUUGGACAAUGGGGGCAACCCUGAUCCAGCCAUGCCGCGUGAGUGAAGAAGGCCUCGGUUGUAAGAC